UACGUAGGGGGCAAGCGUUGUCCGGAUUUAUUGGGCGUAAAGAGCGUGUAGGCGGCCAGGGAGGUCCGUUGUGAAAACUCGAGGCUCAACCUCGAGACGCCGAUGGAAACCCCCCUGGCUAGAGUCCGGAAGAGGAGAGUGGAAUUCCUAGUGUAGCGGUGAAAUGCGUAGAGAUUGGGUGGAACACCGGUGGCGAAGGCGGCUAUCUGGCUCACAACUGACGAUCAGGCACGAAAGCGUGGGGAGCAAACA
rnacentral:rRNA from 1 species